UACGGUAGGGGGCAAGCGUUGUCCGGAAUUAUUGGGCGUAAAGCGCGCGCAGGCGGUUCAUUAAGUUGGGUGUUUAAUCCCGGGGCUCAACCCCGGUUCGCAUCCGAAACUGGUGGACUUGAGUGUAAGAGAGGAAAGUGGAAUUCCACGUGUAGCGGUGAAAUGCGUAGAGAUGUGGAGGAACACCAGUGGCGAAGGCGACUUCUGGCUUAUAACUGACGCUGAGGCGCGAAAAGCG
rnacentral:rRNA from 1 species